rnacentral:rRNA from 1 species
UACGAAAGGAAGUUACGACGGGGCCCGGCACAAGCGGUGGAGCAUGUGGUUUAAUUCGAAGCAACGCGAAGAACCUUACCAGGUCUUGACAUCCCUGACAACCCGAGAGAUCGGGCGUUCCCCUUCGGGGGACAGGGUGACAGGUGGUGCAUGGUUGUCGUCAGCUCGUGUCGUGAGAUGUUGGGUUAAGUCCCGCAACGAGCGCAACCCUCGACCUUAGUUGCCAGCGAGUCAAGUCGGGCACUCUAAGGUGACUGCCGGCUAAAAGUCGGAGGAAGGUGGGGAUGACGUCAAAUCAUCAUGCCCCUUAUGACCUGGGCUACACACGUGCUACAAUGGGCGGUACAAAGGGUCGCGAACCCGCGAGGGGGAGCCAAUCCCAAAAAGCCGCUCUCAGUUCGGAUUGCAGGCUGCAACUCGCCUGCAUGAAGCCGGAAUCGCUAGUAAUCGCGGAUCAGCAUGCCGCGGUGAAUACGUUCUCGGGCCUU